UUUUAACCUUUUUUGUCGUUU
ensembl:piRNA 21ur-11878 ncRNA